CACUGACAGAUGCACCUUGUGGGGUAAAAUGUCCCAAAGUAUCUUUUUUUUUUUUUUUUUGCUUAUGUGCAUAAGAACCCUGGUCUGGAAUGUGCCACACCUGCUCUCACGCCACCAUGGACUCCUGUACCCUCUGUGUGUCCAUUUGUAUCCUGAUAGCCACAUGCACAGAUGCUGGCAUUAUCCAGUCACCCAAGCAUGAGGUGACAGAAAUGGGACAAGCAGUGACUCUGAGAUGUGAGCCAAUUUUAGGCCACAAUCUCCUUUUCUGGUACAGACAGACCUUGGUGCAGGGACUGGAAUUGCUGUGUUACUUCCGCAGCCGAUCUAUUAUAGAUGACGAACAGAUGCCCAAGGAUCGAUUCUCAGCUGAGAGGCCUAAUGGAUCGUUCUCUACUCUGAAGAUUCAACCUACAGAGCAGGAGGACUCCGCUGUGUACAUCUGUGCAAGCCGCUUAGCCACAGCACUGCAGAAUCACCCCCUCUCUGUGUAGAAACCCUGGUGCUUCCUCUUCUCCCCACAGCUCCCAGCAGUCCCGAGCAAAGUCUUUCCUGCUCCUCCCUCCUCACAAGAAUAUUUAAGUGGGUUUGGAUCAUGGCAAAGACAGAAGAUGGUACAAUUUUAACAUACAAAAUCUUGUGUAGGAGAUAAUGUAGAAAAUGUGUUUUGCAGAUUGUAUAUGGAGUCAGAACUCACACACAGGUAGGGUAAACCUUAAUCAUUGAUACGGUAGGUUUCCCUGCCUUCUUCCAUUCACCACCCUCCA